CGGACGGGUGAGUAACACGUGAGCAACCUGCCUUUCAGUGGGGGACAACAGUUGGAAACGACUGCUAAUACCGCAUAACGUGCCGGAAGGCAUCCUUUUGGUACCAAAGAUUUAUCGCUGAAAGAUGGGCUCGCGUCUGAUUAGAUAGUUGGUGAGGUAACGGCCCACCAAGUCGACGAUCAGUAGCCGGACUGAGAGGUUGAUCGGCCACAUUGGGACUGAGACACGGCCCAGACUCCUACGGAAGGCAGCAG
rnacentral:rRNA from 1 species